ACGGGUGAGUAACGCGUAGGUGAUCUACCUUGGCGACCGGGAUAACCAGCCGAAAGGCUGGCUAAUACUGGAUAGAGCGCAAACACUGUAAGGGUGAAUGCGGGAAAGGGAGGCCAUAGCAAUAUGGCUUUUGUGCUGGGAUGAGCCUGCGUCUCAUUAGCUAGUUGGUGAGGUAAGAGCUCACCAAGGCGAUGAUGGGUAGCUGGUCUGAGAGGACGAUCAGCCACACUGGAACUGAAACACGGUCCAGACUCCUACGGGAGGCAGCAGUGGGGAAUCUUGCGCAAUGGACGAAAGUCUGACGCAGCGACGCCGUGUGGGUGAAGAAGGCCUUCGGGUUGUAAAGCCCUGUCGAGAGGGAAAAAUGGCGGUGCAAAUAAUAAGUGCAUCGAUUGAUGGUACCUCUAGAGGAAGCACCGGCUAACUCCGUGCCAGCAGCCGCGGUAAUACGGAGGGUGCAAGCGUUGUUCGGAAUUAUUGGGCGUAAAGGGCAGGUAGGUGGUCUAGUAAGUCUUCUGUGAAAUCCCUGAGCUUAACUCAGGAAGUGCGGAAGAUACUGCUGGACUAGAGUGCUGGAGGGGUGCGU
rnacentral:rRNA from 1 species